CGAGAAGUAUCAAUUGGUCAG
rnacentral:piRNA from 1 species